rnacentral:rRNA from 1 species
AAAUGAAUAGACGGGGACCCGCACAAGCAGUGGAGCAUGUGGUUUAAUUCGAAGCAACGCGAAGAACCUUACCAGGUCUUGACAUCCCUCUGACCGGUGCAGAGAUGCGCCUUUCCUUCGGGACAGAGGAGACAGGUGGUGCAUGGUUGUCGUCAGCUCGUGUCGUGAGAUGUUGGGUUAAGUCCCGCAACGAGCGCAACCCUUGUCCUUAGUUGCCAGCACGUGAAGGUGGGCACUCUAGGGAGACUGCCGGCUAAAAGUCGGAGGAAGGUGGGGAUGACGUCAAAUCAUCAUGCCCCUUAUGACCUGGGCUACACACGUGCUACAAUGGCCGGUACAAAGGGAAGCGAAGCCGCGAGGCGGAGCGAAUCUCAGAAAGCCGGUCUCAGUUCGGAUUGCAGGCUGCAACUCGCCUGCAUGAAGCCGGAAUUGCUAGUAAUCGCGGAUCAGCAUGCCGCGGUGAAUACGUUCCCGGGUCUUGUACACACCGCCCGU